AUACGGCCAUAUCACAUUGAAACAUCGGUUCCAGUACGAUCGCCGAAGUUGAGCAACGUUGAAACUAGUCAGUACCUAGAUGGGUGACUGCUUGGGAAUACCAGGUGUUC